ACCUUUCAGGUUGCAGCCUGAUCUUUUAGGCUGAUGGCUGGUGACUUUUUGGUCACCAGCCU
rfam:Pantoea sp. PSNIH2, complete genome.